CCUACGGGAGGCAGCAGUGGGGGAUAUUGCACAAUGGGGGGAACCCUGAUGCAGCGACGCCGCGUGGGUGAAGAAGCGCCUCGGCGCGUAAAGCCCUGUCAGCAGGGAAGAAAUUGACGUUAACUGUCGAUUAAGCCACGGCUAACUACGUGCCACCAGCCGCGGUAAUACUUAGUUGGCAAGCGUUGUCCGGAUUUACUGGUUGAAAAGGGCGUGUAGCCGGGCUGACAAGUAAGAUGUGAAAUCCGGGGGCUCAACCCACGAACUGCAUUUGAAACUGGUGGUCUUGAGUAGCGGAGAGGCAGGCGGAAGUACUAGUGUAGCGGUGAAAUGCGUAGAUAUUAGGAGGAACACCAGUGGCGAAGGCGGCCUGCUGGACGACAACUGACGGUGAGGCGCGAAAGCGUGGGGAGCAAACAGGAUUAGAUACCCCUGUAGUC
rnacentral:rRNA from 1 species